CCCAUUUCACUUGCACCGGCAAUAACAGAAUACGAGGGUUGCCUCCAAAGAGAUUGGUAAUGGUAUUCAAACUCUGGUAAUUGCUUGAUGAAGUAUAUGAAUCUAGGAUGACGUACCACUCAAGCACUUUAUGCUUAUGGUCAUGUUCAAGUUGAACUCAGCUAGAAAGAUUAAUCUUACCAGUGUCAGUUGUUACUGCAACAUGUUUCCUGGGUUCUGACUUACAAGUGUUAGUUUGUUGGAUUUUGGUAUGUGAAUCCUUCAUAACCAUGGCAUCGGUUACCAUCCUACAAGACAAAAGUGCACUAAUCAGAUUCUGUAAUAAGAUUGUAGGAGACAUUUAAUUGGAAGGUUUAGAUGAAGAGAACAUUUAGGGUAGGGUACAUUCUUUCUAUGAGUUGUGCCUUAGUAGUUGUACAUUCAUUAGUGUAGGACAUUUAGUUGUGCCUUAGGUCUUUUUCUUCUUCUUUUUUUUUUUUUUUUUUUGAAAAAAAAAAUAUCUGGAAUGAGAUGAGUUUAACUUGCCUCGUUUCUUGUAUUUGGCCUGAGGUUUGUCAACCAAAAAAAAUACCACCACCAAUAACGUUGGAGAGAAAUGUCCUCCAUAUGAAGAUAAUCUUUUGAUUUUACAGGCAGAAGAAGCCAGGCGUUUGAGCAAAAGACGAAAAGCUGAAACUCCACGUCUAUUGGAAACAGAGAGAAGACAAAAACAGCGGGUAGAAGAGGUUCGAGAGGCACAGAAAAAGGAUAAGGAAACUCUGAAUUUGAAAGAGCAAAUUCGCAUUGAGGUAAGGACAAAACUGGAUAAACUGGAAGCUAACUGUAGAGAUAUGGCUUCAUUUCUUCAUGGCCUUGGAAUCAAUAUUGGAGGUGGUCUUUACCCUUUGUCUUCUGAGGUACGUGCUGCUUAUAAACAAGCUCUGGUUAGGUUCCAUCCAAAUCGAGCAUGAAGAAGUGACAUUCGCCAGCAAAUUGAAGCUGAAGAAAAAUUUAAGGUUAUUUCUUGUGCAAAAGAGAAAUUUAUGUUGUGACAUGAUGAAAGAAGUAUGAUUAAGAUCACUUCCAAUUUUUGAUCAGUCUAGCCAAUCUUUUUGUUACAUUAUAUAGGUUGAGCAUAUGUUAAAAUCUUCUUAUACCUUAACCUUUAGUUUUUCAUUUGCCUUUUAAUAAUAUCAACGUAGUAACCAUGUUUAUAAUCUUUGGUGCAUCAUUUAGCUUAAUAAUUGUUUGACCCAUAUUUAAUAGCGGGAAAAAAAAAGUGUCGGAGGCUGGUGAGGUAAAAGGAAUGAUUUUGAACACUCUCGCUGCUGUGUAUUCAAGUACUGCUAUGUUGAAUCCCUUAAAGAUGAGAACCUUUUUCAUUUUUAUCUUAUUCUUAGGGACAAAAUGUUGGCAGGUCGGAAGCGAGCUUUGAUUAAUUAGCACAAAACUUGGUAACUAAUGCUGUAACAUCACUGCAUUGUAACAGACCAUCGUGAGGAGUUGGAAAGAAACUGUAGAUUGAGCAAUUAUCCUCGAUUUGGUUUUGCUUUUGUAGUUUGCACUCUCUUACUUUUGGCUUGCCUCUGCAAGAUGAGAACUCCUUAAUUCUCCUUUGAGAGCUCAGUUGCCAAGCUGGAGGAUCGCAUUGCAAGAGCCUUUACCACAAGUGAACCAGAGGCCUUCAAAUUCUGAGUUGAACUUUCUUUCUGGUAAAGGUCCAAACAUUCAAAAAAGAAAGGGGAAAAAAAAGGAAAAA